rnacentral:hammerhead_ribozyme from 1 species
AUCUAACUGAUGAGUCUCAAAUAGGACGAAACACGAAUCAAACUGGAU